rnacentral:rRNA from 1 species
CCUACGGGCGGCUGCAGUGGGGAAUAUUGCACAAUGGGCGCAAGCCUGAUGCAGCCAUGCCGCGUGUGUGAAGAAGGCCUUCGGGUUGUAAAGCACUUUCAGCGGGGAGGAAGGCGUUAAGGUUAAUAACCUUGUCGAUUGACGUUACCCGCAGAAGAAGCACCGGCUAACUCCGUGCCAGCAGCCGCGGUAAUACGGAGGGUGCAAGCGUUAAUCGGAAUUACUGGGCGUAAAGCGCACGCAGGCGGUCUGUCAAGUCGGAUGUGAAAUCCCCGGGCUUAACCUGGGAACUGCAUUCGAAACUGGCAGGCUAGAGUCUUGUAGAGGGGGGUAGAAUUCCAGGUGUAGCGGUGAAAUGCGUAGAGAUCUGGAGGAAUACCGGUGGCGAAGGCGGCCCCCUGGACAAAGACUGACGCUCAGGUGCGAAAGCGUGGGGAGCAAACAGGAUUAGAUACCCUUGUAGUC